rnacentral:rRNA from 1 species
UACGUAGGGGGCGAGCGUUAUCCGGAUUUAUUGGGUUUAAAGGGUGCGUAGGCGGGCGUUUAAGUCAGCGGUGAAAGUUUGCGGCUCAACCGUAAAAUUGCCGUUGAAACUGGAUGUCUUGAGUACAGACGAGGUAGGCGGAAUGUAACGUGUAGCGGUGAAAUGCUUAGAUAUGUUACAGAACUCCGAUUGCGAAGGCAGCUCACCAGGCUGUGACUGACGCUGAGGCACGAAAGCGUGGGUAUCAAAC